rfam:Pseudoalteromonas sp. JW1 Pseudoalteromonas_sp_JW1_S14, whole genome shotgun sequence.
CAGCAAUUAGGAGCUGUGACCUAAGGGCGGAAGCGUG